CCUACGGGAGGCUGCAGUGGGGAAUAUUGGUCAAUGGCCGGAAGGCUGAACCAGCCAAGCCGCGUGAAUGACGAAGGUGCCAAGCAUUGUAAACUUCUUUUGUCAAGGGACAAAAUCAGGCUCGAGAGCCUGACCGAGGGUACUUGAAGAAAAAGCAUCGGCUACCUCCGUGCCAGCAGCCGCGGUAAUACGGAGGAUGCGAGCGUUAUCCGGAUUUAUUGUGUUUCAAGGGUGCGUAGGGGGACUGUUAAGUCAGCGGUAAAAGCCCGGGGCUCACCCCCGGCGAGCCGUUGAAACUGGCUGUCUUGAGAGGUCGAGAGGGAUGCGGAAUGCGAAGUGUAGCGGUGAAAUGCGUAGAUA
rnacentral:rRNA from 1 species